rnacentral:rRNA from 1 species
GACGAACGCUGGCGGCGUGCUUAACACAUGCAAGUCGAACGGUAAGGCUCCAGCUUGCUGGGGUACACGAGUGGCGAACGGGUGAGUAACACGUGGGUGACCUGCCCUGCACUUCGGGAUAAGCCUGGGAAACUGGGUCUAAUACCGGAUAGGACCGCACCGUGAGGGUGUGGUGGAAAGUUUUUUCGGUGUGGGAUGGGCCCGCGGCCUAUCAGCUUGUUGGUGGGGUAAUGGCCUACCAAGGCGGCGACGGGUAGCCGGCCUGAGAGGGUGGACGGCCACAUUGGGACUGAGACACGGCCCAGACUCCUACGGGAGGCAGCAGUGGGGAAUAUUGCACAAUGGGCGGAAGCCUGAUGCAGCGACGCCGCGUGGGGGAUGACGGCCUUCGGGUUGUAAACUCCUUUCGCCAUCGACGAAGGGUUUCUGACGGUAGAUGGAGAAGAAGCACCGGCUAACUACGUGCCAGCAGCCGCGGUAAUACGUAGGGUGCGAGCGUUGUCCGGAAUUACUGGGCGUAAAGAGCUCGUAGGUGGUUUGUCGCGUCGUCUGUGAAAUUCCGGGGCUUAACUCCGGGCGUGCAGGCGAUACGGGCAUAACUUGAGUACUGUAGGGGAGACUGGAAUUCCUGGUGUAGCGGUGAAAUGCGCAGAUAUCAGGAGGAACACCGGUGGCGAAGGCGGGUCUCUGGGCAGUAACUGACGCUGAGGAGCGAAAGCAUGGGGAGCGAACAGGAUUAGAUACCCUGGUAGUCCAUGCCGUAAACGGUGGGCGCUAGGUGUGGGUUUCCUUCCACGGGAUCCGUGCCGUAGCUAACGCAUUAAGCGCCCCGCCUGGGGAGUACGGCCGCAAGGCUAAAACUCAAAGGAAUUGACGGGGGCCCGCACAAGCGGCGGAGCAUGUGGAUUAAUUCGAUGCAACGCGAAGAACCUUACCUGGGCUUGACAUAUACAGGAUCGCGCCAGAGAUGGUGUUUCCCUUGUGGCUUGUAUACAGGUGGUGCAUGGUUGUCGUCAGCUCGUGUCGUGAGAUGUUGGGUUAAGUCCCGCAACGAGCGCAACCCUUGUCUUAUGUUGCCAGCACGUUGUGGUGGGGACUCGUAAGAAACUGCCGGGGUUAACUCGGAGGAAGGUGGGGAUGACGUCAAAUCAUCAUGCCCCUUAUGUCCAGGGCUUCACACAUGCUACAAUGGUCGGUACAGUGGGUUGCCAGUCCGUGAGGGCGAGCUAAUCCCGCAAAGCCGGUCUCAGUUCGGAUCGGGGUCUGCAACUCGACCCCGUGAAGUCGGAGUCGCUAGUAAUCGCAGAUCAGCAACGCUGCGGUGAAUACGUUCCCGGGCCU